rfam:Triticum aestivum genome assembly, contig: Triticum_aestivum_CS42_TGACv1_scaffold_134489_2BL
AAGGUACUCCCUCCGCUCGGAAUUACUCGUCGAAGAAAUGAAUGUAUCUAGAUGUAUUUUAGUUGUAGAUACAUCCAUUUUUGUGACAAGUAAUUCCGAACGGAUGGAGUAAUUG